AUUGAACGCUGGCGGCAGGCCUAACACAUGCAAGUCGAGCGUUCACACAGGGAGCUUGCUCCCGGGUGACGAGCGGCGGACGGGUGAGUAAUGUCUGGGAAACUGCCUGAUGGAGGGGGCUAACUACUGGAAACGGUAGCUAAUACCUCAUACUGUCGCAAGACCAAAGAGGGGGACCUUCGGGCUCAUAGCCAGUAGAUGUGACCAGAUGGGAUUAGCUAGUAGGUGGGGUAACGGCUCACCUAGGCGACGAUCCAUAGCUGGUCUGAGAGGAUGACCAGCCACACUGGAACUGAGACACGGUCCAGACUCCUACGGGAGGCAGCAGUGGGGAAUAUUGCACAAUGGGCGCUAGCCAGAUGCAGCCAUGCCGCGUGUAUGAAGAAUGCCUUCGGGUUGUAAAGUACUUUCAGCGGGGAGGAAGGUGCUGAGGUUAAUAACCUCAGCAAUUGACGUUACCCGCAGAAGAAGCACCGGCUAACUCCGUGCCAGCAGCCGCGGUAA
rnacentral:rRNA from 1 species